UACGUAGGGUGCGAGCGUUGUCCGGAAUUAUUGGGCGUAAAGAGCUCGUAGGCGGUCUGUCGCGUCUGCUGUGAAAACUCGGGGCUUAACCCCGAGCCUGCAGUGGAUACGGGCAGACUAGAGGUAGGUAGGGGAGAAUGGAAUUCCCGGUGUAGCGGUGAAAUGCGCAGAUAUCGGGAGGAACACCGGUGGCGAAGGCGGUUCUCUGGGCCUUACCUGACGCUGAGGAGCGAAAGCGUGGGGAGCGAACAGG
rnacentral:rRNA from 1 species